rnacentral:rRNA from 1 species
AACGAACGCUGGCGGCGUGCCUAACACAUGCAAGUCGUACGGGAAAGUGGGCUUCGGCCCGCGAGUAGAGUGGCAGACGGGUGAGUAACACGUGGGUAACCUACCCGGAGGUGGGGGAUAACCUUCCGAAGGAGGGCUAAUACCGCAUGACAUCUCAGGGGCCUCGGCCCCGGACGAGCAAAGACUAGCCUCUACAUGCAAGCUAGCGCCACCGGA